rnacentral:misc_RNA from 1 species
GAUGAAGAACGUAGCGAAAUGCGAUACUUGGUGUGAAUUGCAGAAUCCCGUGAACCAUCGAGUCUUUGAACGCAAGUUGCGCCCGAAGCCACUAGGCCGAGGGCACGCCUGCCUGGGCGUCACACGCCGUUGCCCCCCCAUCUACUCCUUCGGGAUUGCGGGGGGGCGGAUGAUGGCCUCCCGUGCGCCUAGCCGCGCGGUUGGCAUAAAUACCAAGUCCUCGGCGACGCACGCCACGACAAUCGGUGGUUGCGAAACCUCGGUUGCCCGUCGUGUGCGUUCGUCGCGCAUCGAGGGCUCGAAAAAAUGCUCGGCUCCGGCUGGGCUUUCAACGCGACCCCAGGUCAGGCGGGGUUACCCGCUGAAUUUAAGCAUAUCAAAAAGCGGAGGA